rnacentral:rRNA from 1 species
CCCUACGGGGUGCAGCAGGCGCGAAACCUUUACAAUGCACGAAAGUGUGAUAAGGGGAUCCAGAGUGCCUAUACAAAGUAUAGGCUUUUACCAAGAGUAAAUACCUUGGAGAAUAAGUGGUGGGAAAGACUGGUGCCAGCAGCCGCGGUAACACCAGCGCCACGAGUGGCAAUCACAUUUAUUGGGCCUAAAGCGUCCGUAGCGGGUUUGGAAAAUCUCUUGUGAAAUCGUUGAGCUCAACUCAACGGCGUGCAGGAGACACUACUGAACUUGAGACCGGGAGGAGUCAGAGGUAUGUCAGGGGAAGCGGUAAAAUGCAAUAAUCCUUGAUAGACCACCUGUGGCGAAGGCGUCUGACUAGAACGGAUCUGACCGUGAGGGACGAAAGCCAGGGGAGCAAACCGGAUUAGAUACCCGAGUAGUCCUGGCCCUAAACUCUGCGAGCUAGGUGUUGCAUAUUCUCCGUGAAUAUGCAGUGUCGAAGUGAAGAUGUUAAGCUCGCCGCCUGGGAAGUACAGUCGCAAGGCAGAAACUUAUAGGAAUUGGCGGGGGAGCAC